AAAAUCCGUCGAAUUUGAAAAUCGUGAGGGUUCAAGUCCCUCUAUCCCCAA
rnacentral:tRNA from 9 species